rnacentral:rRNA from 1 species
CCUACGGGAGGCUGCAGUAGGGAAUCUUCCACAAUGGACGAAAGUCUGAUGGAGCAACGCCGCGUGAGUGAAGAAGGGUUUCGGCUCGUAAAGCUCUGUUGUUAUUGAAGAAAGAUAGAGGUAGUAACUGUCCUCUUUUUGACGGUAACUACUUAGAAAGUCACGGCUAACUACGUCCCAGCAGCCGCGGUAAUACGUAGGUGGCAAGCGUUGUCCGGAUUUAUUUGGCUUAAAGUGAGUGCAGGCGGUCUUAUAAGUCGUAUGUGAAAGCCUUCGGCUCAACCGGAGAAUUGCAUUAGAAACUGUUGGACUUGAGUGCAGAAGAGGAGACUGGAACUCCAUGUGUAGCGGUGAAAUGCGUAGAUAUAUGGAAGAACACCAGUGGCGAAGGCGGUUCUCUGGUCUGCAACUGACGCUGAGGCUCGAAAGCAUGGGUAGCAAACAGGAUUAGAUACCCGAGUAGUC